GACGAACGCUGGCGGCGUGCCUAAUACAUGCAAGUUGAGCGCUGAAGGUUGGUACUUGUACCAACUGGAUGAGCAGCGAACGGGUGAGUAACGCGUGGGGAAUCUGCCUUUGAGCGGGGGACAACAUUUGGAAACGAAUGCUAAUACCGCAUAAAAACUUUAAACACAAGUUUUAAGUUUGAGAGAUGCAAUUGCAUCACUCAAAGAUGAUCCCGCGUUGUAUUAGCUAGUUGGUGAGGUAAAGGCUCACCAAGGCGAUGAUACAUAGCCGACCUGAGAGGGUGGUCGGCCACAUUGGGACUGAGACACGGCCCAAACUCCUACGGGAGGCAGCAGGAGGGAAUCUUCGGCAAUGGACGGAAGUCUGACCGAGCAACGCCGCGGGAGUGAAGAAGGUUGUCGGGUCGGAAAACUCUGUUGGUAGAGAAGAACGUUGGUGAGAGUGGAAAGCUCAUCAAGUGACGGUAACUACCCAGAAAGGAACGGCUAACUACGUG
rnacentral:rRNA from 1 species